rnacentral:rRNA from 1 species
GUGCCGUGAGGUGUUAGGUUAAGUCCUGCAACGAGCGCAACCCCUGUCACUAGUUGCUACCAUUCAGUUGAGGACUCUAGUGAGACUGCCUACGCAAGUAGAGAGGAAGGUGGGGAUGACGUCAAAUCAUCACGGCCCUUACGUCUUGGGCCACACACGUAAUACAAUGGCCGGUACAGAGGGCAGCUACACAGUGAUGUGAUGCGAAUCUCGAAAGCCGGUCUCAGUUCGGAUUGGAGUCUGCAACUCGACUCUAUGAAGCUGGAAUCGCUAGUAAUCGCGCAUCAGCCAUGGCGCGGUGAAUACGUUCCCGGGCCUUGUACACACCGCCCGUCAAGCCAUGGAAGUUUGGGGUACCUGAAGUCGGUGACCGUAAAAGGAGCUGCCUAGGGUAAAACAAGUAACUAGGGCUAAGUCGUAACAAGGUAGGCGUAGUGCU